AACGCUAGCUACAGGCUUAACACAUGCAAGUCGAGGGGCAGCAUUGGAGUAGCAAUACUUCAGAUGGCGACCGGCGCACGGGUGAGUAACACGUAUCCAACCUGCCGCUUACUCGGGGAUAGCCUUUCGAAAGAAAGAUUAAUACCCGAUGGCAUAGUUCUUCCGCAUGGUGGAACUAUUAAAGAAUUUCGGUCAUCGAUGGGGAUGCGUUCCAUUAGGUUGUUGGCGGGGUAACGGCCCACCAAGCCUUCGAUGGAUAGGGGUUCUGAGAGGAAGGUCCCCCACAUUGGAACUGAGACACGGUCCAAACUCCUACGGGAGGCAGCAGUGAGGAAUAUUGGUCAAUGGACGAGAGUCUGAACCAGCCAAGUAGCGUGAAGGAUGACUGCCCUAUGGGUUGUAAACUUCUUUUAUACGGGAAUAAAGUGAGGCACGUGUGCCUUUUUGUAUGUACCGUAUGAAUAAGGAUCGGCUAACUCCGUGCCAGCAGCCGCGGUAAUACGGAGGAUCCGAGCGUUAUCCGGAUUUAUUGGGUUUAAAGGGAGCGUAGGCGGACGCUUAAGUCAGUUGUGAAAGUUUGCGGCUCAACCGUAAAAUUGCAGUUGAUACUGGGUGUCUUGAGUACAGUAGAGGCAGGCGGAAUUCGUGGUGUAGCGGUGAAAUGCUUAGAUAUCACGAAGAACUCCGAUUG
rnacentral:rRNA from 1 species